GAUGAACGCUGGCGGCGUGCCUAAUACAUGCAAGUCGAGCGAACAGACGAGGAGCUUGCUCCUCUGACGUUAGCGGCGGACGGGUGAGUAACACGUGGAUAACCUACCUAUAAGACUGGGAUAACUUCGGGAAACCGGAGCUAAUACCGGAUAAUAUAUUGAACCGCAUGGUUCAAUAGUGAAAGACGGUUUUGCUGUCACUUAUAGAUGGAUCCGCGCCGCAUUAGCUAGUUGGUAAGGUAACGGCUUACCAAGGCAACGAUGCGUAGCCGACCUGAGAGGGUGAUCGGCCACACUGGAACUGAGACACGGUCCAGACUCCUACGGGAGGCAGCAGUAGGGAAUCUUCCGCAAUGGGCGAAAGCCUGACGGAGCAACGCCGCGUGAGUGAUGAAGGUCUUCGGAUCGUAAAACUCUGUUAUUAGGGAAAAACAAAUGUGUAAGUAACUAUGCACGCCUUGACGGUACCUAAUCAGAAAGCCACGGCUAACUACGUG
rnacentral:rRNA from 1 species